GUAAUAUGCAAUAUAAGCAUAUAGGAGCAGAACAGAGAAAUGAUAACUUUAGGAGAGUACCCCAUGGUGGAGAAAUACCAAAAGAUGGAGAUGAGAAACUAAAUCUGUUUUUGUUUAGGCGUUAGUCGAAGUACAUAUUCAAACAAGUUGAAAACAUGGCAACAAGAUCACCAAGAACGUGUGAACAUCUUAUGGGUCACUUGAACUUGCAGGGUAGGAUGUCGUGAUCCAGUUGGAUUUGAACAUACAUAUUUCCAAAUAUACGAAAGACAAACUAACUGUUCACACCUGUUCAUUGAGGCCAGAAAAGAAGGUGCUGUCCUCAUUUUAUCUUUUUUUGCGGCUCUGCCAUUUGCUUUUCACCCACAAUCUCAGGCUGCCAUUGCUUUGUACACGUAUUGAUCAGUUUGUCCAAGCUUCCACGUGCAGUGAUCAAUUACCAUACACCUAUAGAGCUUGAUGUCUUUCUAAGGUCUUUCACGUUCUUUUCACCAACAAAGAAACAGGUGGAUCUGGAACUGCUCUACAGUGUUAGAGUAAUAGCCUUCUGUUUGAAAUUGAAUUCUCUCUACUGAUUUUACUGGUUUUCUGUUAAGCGAAAGAGACACGUUGAGUCUGCAACUCUGAUCGUGACUCUUUGACAGCCCGGCAGCUUUGUCUUCGUCGAUACCGCGAAGUUUUCAGAACUGGAAGGGCUACUUUAUCUGCUUUCAACGUGCUAGCAACAGUGGCUCGGUUUUACUGGUAGUUGAUCGUUUGGCGGUAAACAGUGAUUACUUCUGUACCUGCCUGGGAUUUAAGUGGAGAAACAGAGGAGGGACUGUGUUAUAGUCACUGAGCUCGCGAAGCCCCUGAUUGCCUACUGCAUGUAAUAAAUGCUACAGUUAUUUGCAGCCAACAACAAAAAAGAAACGAAUGGUGAAGAACCAGAAGAUUUGUACAGUUUUGAAUAU